rnacentral:lncRNA from 1 species
AGCUGCUGGCGACGCGGUGCGCGGCGGGGGCGCCGAGCCCGUCGAGGAGCCCCGCGCCGGGCUACGCGGGGGCCGCCAGUCCCGGGUACCGCCUGCGCCGCCGGGUCCGGGGUGGCGCGGGGGCAACUGCCAGCGCCAGGCGCCGCGGCCGCCUGCGCCGCUUCCUCUGCCGCAGAGGCGGCGGCGGCGGCGGCGGGACGGAGCCCGUGGCGGCCGCGCGGCAGCAGGAGGAGGACGACGUCAGGAGGCCGCUCUUCGGCGGCGGCCGGGGCCGCACGCUGCGGGAUCUGUUCGUGGCGUCCCCGGAGGCCGGGCGCCGCCGCGGGGGAUGCAGCUGCGACUGCGGCGACGACGAGGAUGACGAGGAAGAAGAUGGCGGCGGCGGGAGGGCGGGCGCGGGCGGCGCGGAUCCUGGUGGCGGCGGGGGAGCGUGGCGAGGGAGCAGGAGGUUCGGCUCCGGCGGGCUGCGGAGCCUGCUGAUGCGGCGGAGCUGGCGGCCGGUGCUGGUGGCCAUCCCGGAGGCGGAAGGCGGCAAGAUCGAGCUCGGCACCAUCGAGGAAUAAAAGGAGCAGCAGAAGUGAACCGAACGCAUGUUGGGGGAUUCUCUUCGCGUCUGCUUCUGCCUCUGUUCUUCUUGCUUUCUCUGCUUCCUCCCCUGGUUUCUUGGCUUCACCUCCCUGUUGGUGACUGCCGCUGUGAAUAUGAUGCGAUUGAUGAAUCAACCAGAUCACCUGCCAUGCCACGCCACGUAUAGCUCUUGUUACUGCGAUUCUGCGAUUCAGUUUACAUGUUUACAGUGCAACCAUGGGCAGAUGCAGCAAGCCAGCAAGCAAGUCGCUGGAUAGUAUCCUAUACACUGGCCAGUGUGCCGAGGAUGUUCUACGACUGGAUGAACAAUCCAUGCCUGGAUGCCAUUCACGUCCCGUCACGUAGCAGCCGAGCAGGAGCUUGUACAGGCUGCAAGACUCCAGUUGGGAGUGGGAGUCAGCCAUCAACCAACCAUGGCUGCUGCUGCGUGGUUGAAACCGGAGCCCGGAUGUCGGAGCUAGCAUUGAUUGAUUGUAGGUAUCCGGACGAGGAACGGUGGGCGCGAGAUACGAUGUUGAUGCCGGCUUAGGGUCUCUCAGUGUAUGGAUGCACUCCUGGUCCUAAGGUGGGACCACCAUAAAUUUGACAUCACCAGACCCGCAAUGCAAAAAACCAGCAGUUGUGUCCAUACGUGGAACCCGUCUGACUAAAAAAUUCCCUAGCUCCUCUUCCAUCCCACGGGUUCUCGUUCAUCUCAAAUAAAAUAUCAGUCAAAGUACUCGAAAGUUUACAAGAGUACAUAAAAGCUCAAGGCUCCUCCAGAGAUACAAAUUCCGACAUCUUCGAC